AUUGAACGCUGGCGGCAGGCCUAACACAUGCAAGUCGAACGAGUGGCGGACGGGUGAGUAAUGACUGGGAAACUGCCUGAUGGAGGGGGAUAAAUACUGGAAACGGUAGCUAAUACCGCAUACCAUCAGAUGUGCCCAGAUGGGAUUAGCUUGUUGGGUGGGUAACGGAUCACCAAGGAGACGAUCCCUAGCAGGUCUGAGAGGAUGACCAUCCACUCCGGAAUGUAGACACGUUCCAGACUCCGCCGGCAGGCAGCAGUGGGGAAGCUUGCACAAUGGGCGAAAGCCUGAUUCAGCCAUGCCGCGUGUAUGAAGAAGGCCUUCGUGUUGUAAAGUACUUUCAGCGGGGAGGCGUUACCCGCAGAAGAAGCACCGGCUAACUCCGUGCCAGCAGCCGCGGUAAUAC
rnacentral:rRNA from 1 species